UACGGAGGGAGCUAGCGUUGUUCGGAAUUACUGGGCGUAAAGCGCGCGUAGGCGGUUAUUCAAGUCAGAGGUGAAAGCCCGGGGCUCAACCCCGGAACUGCCUUUGAAACUAGAUAACUAGAAUCUUGGAGAGGUCAGUGGAAUUCCGAGUGUAGAGGUGAAAUUCGUAGAUAUUCGGAAGAACACCAGUGGCGAAGGCGGCUCGCUGGACAAGUAUUGACGCUGAGGUGCGAAAGCGUGGGGAGCAAACAGG
rnacentral:rRNA from 1 species